rnacentral:lncRNA from 1 species
UUUUAAAGUAUCUUCCAAUGUAAAUGAAUGUUCAGCUUAUCUUUGUAGAGCCAUACUCUCCUGUACUGUGCAUUUUUUAAAAAGACUUCCACUUUAAUUCUCUCUUUUCCUGGUUUCUCCAGUAGCAAGGAUCUGAAUGUCAAAUAGGUUGUUUCCUGUACUUGUGAAUAUCACCUCCCUGCAGAGCUCUGUGGAGGAAGGCACAUGGAGUUCCAUGUGGAAGCACCUUCGGGGCACAGCAGCAGAAAUUUGAAAUAAAUGCACCACUAGAGGGCAGCUGCUCGUUCUCACAGCUGGAAUGGAAUCCUGUUCACCACUGCAGAAUGUGAGCUCAGUAUUUACAGUUAAAGGUUUGGUUGAUUGCCUUUGCUUUUCUAAGUACUUCAUGUGGUUGUGGCUUCACCAUGGUACACUAGGUUUUAUGAACCCUGGGGAGCUCAUGUGGUAG